CUCGUAGUCGGAUUUCGGGGCGGGGCGACCGGUCUGCCGAUGGGUAUGCUCUGGUCGGCGCGUCCUUCCUUCCGGAGACCGUGCCUACUCUUAACUGAGCGGGGGCGGGAGACGGAUCGUUUACUUUGAAAAAAUCAGAGUGUUUCAAGCAGGCGUCUCGCCUUUGCAUGGAUUAGCAUGGGAUAAUGAAAUAGGACUUUGGUGCUAUUUUGUUGGUUUCGAACACCGAAGUAAUGAUUAACAGGGACAGUCAGGGGCACUCGUAUUCCGUCGAGAGAGGUGAAAUUCUCAGACCAAUGGAAGACGAACAACUGCGAAAGCAUUUGCCAGGGAUGUUUUCACUGAUCAAGAACGAAAGUUAGGGGAUCGAAGACGAUCAGAUACCGUCGUAGUCUUAACCAUAAACCAUGCCGACUAGGGAUCGGAGGAUGUUAGAUUUGACUCCUUCGGCACCUUACGGGAAACUAAAGUCUUUGGGUUCCGGGGGGAGUAUGGUCGCAAGGCUGAAACUUAAAGGAAUUGACGGAAGGGCACCACCAGGAGUGGAGCCUGCGGCUUAAUUUGACUCAACACGGGGAAACUUACCAGGUCCAGACAUUGUAAGGAUUGACAGAUUGAAAGCUCUUUCUUGAUUCGAUGGGUGGUGGUGCAUGGCCGUUCUUACUUGGUGGAGUGAUUUGUCUGGUUAAUUCCGUUAACGAAACGAGACCUUAGCCUGCUAAAUA
rnacentral:rRNA from 1 species